GUUAUAAGGCAACAACGAACCAUUUAUAAGGGACGCAACUAUAAAGGAUUAUUUCCAUGUGGAAAAGAUAGAGCGAGAUAGAAGAUAUAUCCCUUUUUAUCUUUUUUUUUAUAGGUUCUUCUAUAUUUAAGGUAUAAAUAGACCCUUUUCUGCAGAUAAAAACUUUAUUUUCUUUUAUAAUUUAAAUUAACGUAUCGUUACACUCAUACAAAAUAUUUAUUACAUUUGUACACAACCUAUAUAAAAUAGGAACAAAUUUUAUUUCAAAAGCAAUUUUGUUAAUACGAUCUCAUAUAUUUGCUAAUUUCGUUCAUUUCUAAUGAUAGUAGUAAUUAUAACAAAUCAUUUUAUUAAGAAAUCAGAUAAUUUGAGAUACUGCAAUUCUACGCUCAAGCAACCAGUAUAAUUAUAUGAAAGUAUUAUUUUUAUGAACCCAUUGAUAUUAAUAUCAGUCCAGCGAUAUUAAUAUUUUAUUGAAUAAUUUCUGCAAAAAAUAAAAUAUAAUACUAUUGAAGCAAUGAAGCCCUUGCAACCAAUGAAGUUGUUUGUACAUUCAGUAACAUCAUCUUUAGUCAUUAUUACUACGAUACACUACUUUUGGUAUAUUUUUCAAAAAAAUUAUGUGCCAAAAGAUCAACAAGCUGAAAUUCCUAUACUUGUAAUGUUAAGAAGUUUUAUAAAAAAUGAUAAUAGUAAAAAACCAGAUAAUACAAAUUAAUGUAUUGUUAAAUUUAAGUAAUGUGUACUUCUAUUUAUUAUAAUAAAUAAUAAUGCUGAAGAAAUA